GCGUAUAUUAAAGUUGUUGCAGUUAGAACGCUCGUAGUCGGAUUUCGGGUCGGGCCGAGCGGUCUGCCGAUGGGUAUGCACUGUUCGGCGCGGCCUUCUUUCCGGAGACCGCGGCUACUCUUAACUGAGCGGGCGUGGGAGACGGAUCGUUUACUUUGAAAAAAUCAGAGUGUUUCAAGCAGGCAGCUCGCUCUUGCAUGGAUUAGCAUGGGAUAAUGAAAUAGGACUCUGGUGCUAUUUUGUUGGUUUCGAACACCGGAGUAAUGAUUAACAGGGACAGUCAGGGGCACUCGUAUUCCGUCGAGAGAGGUGAAAUUCUCAGACCAAUGGAAGACGAACCACUGCGAAAGCAUUUGCCAGGGAUGUUUUCACUGA
rnacentral:rRNA from 1 species